rnacentral:rRNA from 1 species
AGCUCCAAUAGCGUAUAUUAAAGUUGUUGCAGUUAAAAAGCUCGUAGUUGGAUUUCUGGUGUGAGGGAACGGUCCGACCUCUGGUGGGUACUUGCUUCCUCUCACGCCAUCCUUGAGUGGUGCGUUCUGGCAUUCAGUUGUCGGGACGUUAGCCGCUCAUCGUUUACUGUGAGAAAAUUAGAGUGUUCAAAGCAGGCUUAUGCCGUUGAAUAUAUUAGCAUGGAAUAAUAAGAUAGGACUUCGGUACUAUUUUGUUGGUUUGCGCACCGAUGUAAUGAUCAAUAGGGACAGUUGGGGGUAUUCGUAUUCAGUUGUCAGAGGUGAAAUUCUUAGAUUUACGGAAGACGAACUACUGCGAAAGCAUUUACCAAGGAUGUUUUCA